UGCAAGUCGAGCGGAAACGAUCCCAGCUUGCUGGGAGGCGUCGAGCGGCGGACGGGUGAGUAAUGCAUAGGAAUCUGCCCGGUAGUGGGGGAUAACUUGAGGAAACUCAAGCUAAUACCGCAUACGCCCUACGGGGGAAAGCAGGGGCUCUUCGGACCUUGCGCUAUCGGAUGAGCUUAUGUCGGAUUAGCUAGUUGGUGAGGUAACGGCUUACCAAGGCGACGAUCCGUAGCUGGUCUGAGAGGAUGAUCAGCCACAUCGGGACUGAGACACGGCCCGAACUCCUACGGGAGGCAGCAGUGGGGAAUAUUGGACAAUGGGCGAAAGCCUGAUCCAGCCAUGCCGCGUGUGUGAAGAAGGCCCUCGGGUUGUAAAGCACUUUCAGUGAGGAAGAAGGCUUGUCGGUUAAUACCCGGCAGGAAGGACAUCACUCACAGAAGAAGCCCCGGCUAACUCCGUGCCAGCAGCCGCGGUAAUACGGAGGGGGCAAGCGUUAAUCGGAAUUACUGGGCGUAAAGCGUGCGUAGGCGGCUUGGUAAGCCGGUUGUGAAAGCCCCGGGCUCAACCUGGGAAUGGCAUCCGGAACUGUCAGGCUAGAGUGCAGGAGAGGAAGGUAGAAUUCCCGGUGUAGCGGUGAAAUGCGUAGAGAUCGGGAGGAAUACCAGUGGCGAAGGCGGCCUUCUGGACUGACACUGACGCUGAGGUACGAAAGCGUGGGUAGCAAACAGGAUUAGAUACCCUGGUAGUCCACGCCGUAAACGAUGUCGACUAGCCGUUGGGGUCCUUGAGACCUUUGUGGCGCAGUUAACGCACUAAGUCGACCGCCUGGGGAGUACGGCCGCAAGGUUAAAACUCAAAUGAAUUGACGGGGGCCCGCACAAGCGGUGGAGCAUGUGGUUUAAUUCGAUGCAACGCGAAGAACCUUACCUACCCUUGACAUCGUGCGAACUUGGUAGAGAUACCUUGGUGCCUUCGGGAGCGCACAGACAGGUGCUGCAUGGCUGUCGUCAGCUCGUGUUGUG
rnacentral:rRNA from 2 species